GUAAGUUUAAAUUCAAAAGAAUUAAUCAUAAACGUGUAUAUCAUAAACAAUAUGUCGUCAUCACAGUUCACUAUCUUUUGCAUCAUUUUGAUUGUUUUAUCUCCUCUUCAAGAAUUUGUCGAUGCAGCUAAAGGAACAUGCGAGCAAAAAAUAUGCCCAAAACUCAAAACCAAAGAUAAGACUUGCUUCUGUUGUCCCUCCACUAAGGGUUGCUCCGGGACCAGACAAAAUUGCGAAGGUUGGUGUAAAUAAAUUAUCUCGAGGAGCUGCAUCAAGGAUUUAAGAAAACCUGAAUAAUCAUUUUAUUUAAUUCUUCCUAAUAUCUACUUUUGUUUUAUGUGAAUAAAGCAUGCUCAUCUAGAGUCCAUCAAAUACAAUGCAUGCCUAUUGUAUUUGUGUCCAGAGACUUUCGUAUUCUAUUCUAUGCAAUGCGCAUCAUUUAAACUUAUUUUGUCUCCUUUUGUUUUAAUUUGCUAUUAAUUUCUUAAAUA